rnacentral:tRNA from 1 species
GGGGGGAUACCAGAGCGGCCAAAUGGGACGGACUGUAAAUCCGUUGGCGCAAGCCUACGCAGGUUCGAAUCCUGCUCCCCCCA